GAAGGCGGUUCCUCCGGAGUGAGGCUUGGCCAUUGCACCUCGGCUGAGUUGACCUCUGCGAAUUAUUCCUAAUGUGAUUAACUCGUGCGUGUAAUUUUUGGUAGCCGGGAAUGGCGUUCGCGCCGUCCCGA
rnacentral:snRNA from 1 species